AUUACUCUCUCAGACACACUCUCUCUCCUCUCUAUUCUCUCCUGCUUCUCCUUUAUUCUAUCUUUCCCUAGCAGUCGACCCUAGAUUCUUCUUCUCGCCUGCAUCAGCCACGAUCUUGAGGUCUAACGAUGUGCGUGUUGACUGAAGGUGCGGAGCUUGGGGUCUAACGAUGUGUGUGUGCUUCGGUCGGAGCUUGUGGCCUGGUGCGACAAGGGAGGUGCCUGGUGCAACGGGAAGAAAGAAGCAAGUUGAGGCGCUUGGUGCGACAGGAAGAAAGAAGCAAGCCGAGGCGCCUAGUGUGACGGGAAGAAGGAAAAGCUUAUACCUAGAUUUGCGAUAGAUUUUUUGGUUUGUUGUUGAAGGAGGAGUUUUGUUCUCGGAGGAGUUUUGGUUUGUUACCUAGAUUUGUGACGAAGCACCUUCAAAUGCAAGCUAAGGAAGACGACAGAGGCACAAGAAGAUAGAUAGAGAAAGGUUGUUUCUCAGUUAUCCAAGCAGGAGGGCUUUUAAGUUUGACUUUGAAUUAGUUUCAUUUAGAUGUUGAAUAUGACGGCUUGAUUUAAUCCAUGCAUUCUUUAAGAGUUCCUUGUAUUUUAUCGAAUUAGGUUCUUUUGUAGAGAAUGUUACAAGUUUGUUGUCCAAUUUUCCUAAGGUGUCCUUAAUCUAUGUUUGAUUUACAUAUUGAUUAGUUGUGUAUGCUCUUAAGGUGGACGAAAAACUUGUAUAUCUAGAGAAUUUCUUAUUUUUUGUUGCUGUAUUACACUCUUAUUAUGAUUUUUAAUGAAAUAUUCAUUA